AAUCCACGCUUGGGCGAGUCGGGGAGAGGUGGAGUGGAACAGAGUUUACCGCCAAAGAGAGUAACCCUACCAAGAUCUUUGUUCCCGCCUCCUGGAAACCUGCCUGCAGUUGGAGUGUGUCAACUGGAGUGAGAAGGGGGACGAAGGCCAGUGGGAAGAGGAGGAGAAACUCCCCCUCCAAGGUUUCAUCCUUGCUGAGGAAGGUGAUGGAUUACCGCUACGCCCUGGUGUGAAAAUGGCUGAAUUGACCCAUCAACUAUCCAACAGGCUGAAUUGUCCUGACCAAUAGAAGAAAAAAUUGUUAAUUUCAGAGUGUAAUUGUUAAUUUCAGAGUGUAAUUGUUAAUUUCAGAGUGUAAGUGUAAAAUUUUAAGUUGAAAAUACACUGCAAAAGUUGAUUUUACUGUAGGAGUGUAAACAAAUAAAUAUGUAAGGGAAGAGUGUUGGUCUGAUGUAAUAUU